AUAUUCUGAACCAAAAGAAGUUGGAGGUUUGGAAAGAAAUGAGUUCAGAACGCCGAGGUUUGGCAUGCAUAACGGGUCUGGAAAGUAACAUUUUGGUGGGAGGUGGUCUCUGCAAAAUGCUGGUACGCAUCUUGAUGCAAACAUGGAUUUCGGUGAUGUGGGCAUGACCCUUCGGGUACUCAUAUACCUGGUGCAGCACAAAGCCCAUUUGAUGAUCUUCUAAGAACCACAAAGCCCAAGAUAAUUUGGCAACUAUGGUUCAUUCAAAGACCAUUGUUUCUGGCGUGUGAAACAAGGAUAAUUAGGGAACCCAAGAUUUCGCCUACCUUGUAACCGACUCGGCCGGCCACGUACGUGAAACUUGGCUUUCUAUAUAAAGGCUAGGAGGAGCCUCCGGGCGAGACAGACAAACAACUUGUAUAUUCUCCAACUCACGUGAGAUCCAAUCUACACUACAAUUGACAAUUGUAAUCGUCUUCAUUGAUAAACAAGAUCAGACAAGCACAAACUGGUGUAUUGAA